CCGACCUGGGAGCGCGGACCCGGCCGCUCGGCUCCUCCUGACCCGCGGUCCUGUGCCCGCUGCCGCGCAUCCCAGCCUCAGUUUCCUCUUCUGCCAAAGGGGCUUCAAAGGCGCGCAGGAAACACGGAGCCGCUAGUUUCUAGGUGCCAGGUCCACGGGAGCCCGCAAAACCAAAUCCCUAUUCUUGGGGCGCCCGUGGUGUUGGGGGAGGCAGUAAUGAGUAAACUAACAACCAAGCAGACAUGUUCCUGUAUUGCUGAGAACCUGACUUUUCUGAACCGCAUCCGUCUCAAGGACACCACCAGCUGGUCUCAGAACACUUGAUUGGCUGCCAGCUGCCACCUUCAAGUCCCAAGGUCCUGCCUUUUUUCCAGGCUGAAAAUAGAAACGUACCAACCAACUGAAUACGAAGUAAAAUGAACACCCAUAUACCUUGAUUCAGCAGCUGUCAACAGACUGCCGCAUUUAAUUUCUCUCUCUCUCACCCUGUAUCUCCCCCUUCUUUGUUUCCUGAACCAUUUAAGCUGCAGAUGUUACCCCUGCUCCUAAAUACUUCAGCAUCCCCCUCCUAAAAACAAGAACAUCCCCCUAUAUCUCUAAAAUAAAAUGACCACACUCUGGAAAUUUAACAUCAUUCGAUGCUAUUGCCUAAUAUA